AUUGAACGCUGGCGGCAGGCCUAACACAUGCAAGUCGAGCGGAUGAAGGGAGCUUGCUCCUGGAUUCAGCGGCGGACGGGUGAGUAAUGCCUAGGAAUCUGCCUGGUAUUGGGUUAUAACGUCCGUUAACGGGCGCUAAUACCGCAUACGUCCUUAUGUAGAAAGUUGGGGAUCUUCGGACCUCACGCUAUCAUAUUAGCCUAGGUCGGAUUAGCUAGUUGGUGGGGUAAAGGCCUACCAAGGCCACGAUCCGUAACUGGUCUGAGAGGAUGAUCAGUCACACUGGAACUGAGACACGGUCCAGACUACUACGGGAGGCAGCAGUGGGGAAUAUUGGACAAUGGGCGAAAGACUGAUACAGCCAUGCCGCGUGUGUGAAGAAGGUCUUCGGAUUGUAAAGCACUUUAAGUUGGGAGGAAGGGAAGUAAGUUAAUACCUUGCUGUUUUGACGUUACCAACAGAAUAAGCACCGGCUAACUUCGUG
rnacentral:rRNA from 1 species